UACGGAGGGAGCUAGCGUUGUUCGGAAUUACUGGGCGUAAAGGGCUCGUAGGCGGCCAACUAAGUCAGACGUGAAAUCCCUCGGCUUAACCGGGGAACUGCGUCUGAUACUGGAUGGCUUGAGAUUGGGAGAGGGAUGCGGAAUUCCAGGUGUAGCGGUGAAAUGCGUAGAUAUCUGGAGGAACACCGGUGGCGAAGGCGACAUCCUGGACCAACACUGACGCUGAGGAGCGAAAGCCAGGGGAGCAAACGGG
rnacentral:rRNA from 1 species